rnacentral:lncRNA from 1 species
AACAUUAGCUUUGGCACCUGCCUGUAAUUAACAAAAUAAGAACCAAGCUUGAUCUAAGAUGUAUAGCAACUGAAACAGCACAACACUCAAAUUAGGAACAUCUCAAACCUUGACCAACAGCUCUAAGCAUGCCAUAGAACCAGCCGCCACUGCUGAUAACAACGGCGUGACAUUAUCUUCGGUCUCGGCGUUAGGCUGCAAGACCAUGAAAAAAUCAAAAUUAAAACUACGGUUUAGAUGGAAAUUCAACUAAAGAUAUGCAUUAUACACAAAAGUUUACAUCGAC